ACUGCAAGUUGUUCUAUCGCUCUGUAACGGAGAGGAAAGUCCGGACAACGCUGAGCACCACACUACCUAACGGGUAGGGUUAUACUUUGGUAUAACACAGAAAGGGUCACAGAAAAUAACCGCCAUCGCCCUGCGGUGGUAAGGGUGAAAAUGGGUGGUAAGAGCACCCGGUACCAAUGUGCAAACAUAAGUGCGGAUAAACCUUGUGGGUUGAAAUGCCAUGUACACUCCAAUCUCUUUCAGGAGCUUAAACUGCUCGUUUUGGUCGCCAAUCGGCGAGUUGGAGGGGGUAGGCAGCUAAAGCGAAUUGGCGACAUUUCGCUAAGAUAAAUGAUAGAAAUUUUGCGUAAGCAAAACACAGAAUCCGGCUUAUAGGCUUGCAGUUUUU
rnacentral:RNase_P_RNA from 1 species